rnacentral:rRNA from 1 species
CAAGCCCUGGAAACGGGGUCUAAUACCGGAUACUACUGCCGGCCGUAUGGUCUGGUGGUGGAAAGCUCCGGCGGUGCAGGAUGAGCCCGCGGCCUAUCAGCUUGUUGGUGGGGUGAUGGCCUACCAAGGCGACGACGGGUAGCCGGCCUGAGAGGGCGACCGGCCACACUGGGACUGAGACACGGCCCAGACUCCUACGGGAGGCAGCAGUGGGGAAUAUUGCACAAUGGGCGAAAGCCUGAUGCAGCGACGCCGCGUGAGGGAUGACGGCCUUCGGGUUGUAAACCUCUUUCAGCAGGGAAGAAGCGAAAGUGACGGUACCUGCAGAAGAAGCACCGGCUAACUACGUGCCAGCAGCCGCGGUAAUACGUAGGGUGCGAGCGUUGUCCGGAAUUAUUGGGCGUAAAGAGCUCGUAGGCGGCGUGUCACGUCGGAUGUGAAAGCCCGGGGCUUAACCCCGGGUCUGCAUUCGAUACGGGCAGGCUAGAGUUCGGUAGGGGAGAUCGGAAUUCCUGG